UGGUGACUAUAGCAAGGAGGUCACACCUGUUCCCAUGCCGAACACAGAAGUUAAGCUCCUUAGCGUCGAUGGUAGAUGAGCCGCAUUGAGACCGCAAGGUCUCUUUUU
rnacentral:rRNA from 1 species